GGUAAUAAUCUUGACCAGACUAUUCAACAGAUAAUGGAUAUGGGAGGUGGGAACUGGGAUAAAGAAACAGUUACUCGAGCACUUCGAGCAGCUUAUAACAAUCCAGAACGAGCAGUGGAUUAUUUGUACUCUGGUAUUCCAGAAACAGCGGAAGUUGCUGUCCCAGUGACUGAUUUCCCUGCAGGUCAGGAAACUGAAAUAGAUGCAGCAGGAGCUGCACCUGUAUCUGGAGCGCCCAAUACAUCUCCCUUGAAUAUGUUUCCUCAGGAGACACUUUCUGCUGCUGCUGGCGGGGG
rnacentral:misc_RNA from 1 species